CGGCCAUGAAAGCCUUCGACAAUACAUCUAGAAAAGAGGCCAGUUCCUUCUUUUCACAUUUCCAUUCAUCCAGCUGACUGGUCUGAGACAGCUGCAGAUGGUGCUGGUCUUCUGAGCUGGUCGGGGCUCCAGGUUCUCUUGCUCCACCUGUAUGCUGGCCUCUGGGCCACCUGAGCAGCGGCCUUCUCCUUCAUGCUGGCUUUCAGCUCCUGGCAGUAAUUCUGGAAGAGCUUCACCCAGUCACCCAGGGGCUGAAUCUUUGCCCCUCUUUGUUGUCCUUUGCCAUGGGAUCAUUCAUUGGAGCAUAAUAAAGGAACAACAACAACAGCACUAAUUCUGUUGCCCCCUGAUCCCUUGCCCCUUAGCCAGGGUGCCAUGAUUUGGUUCAGUUUCCUGACUGUCAGGCUAUGCUGAUUGCUGGGAUGGACAUCAAUCCACCUCCCGCCCCGCCCCCCCAAUGUGUGAUCCCACAAAUCUGGAUGCCCAGGCCAGCGCAGACACCGUGUGCUCAAAGAGCACCCUUUGCUGAUGGGAGGCCGAAGAAAGCGGACUUGGCAUUGGCAGCACACGGGGCGGUUCAAUGAAAUUGUAAAAUUGUCCAGUGCUCCAGCCCAAGAAACAGUGACGUCUAAGCAUCUUGCUGCACAUGUUCUGGCCUUUGGAAUGAAAACCAGCCUCUUGCGUGGACUGUAUAAGGAUCAAACCCAGUGCCUGUUUUACUUUCUCCUACCUGAACAGCACCAUCUUAUGGGGAGGCUGAAUUUCGUUCCUCACCACCAGCAGUGGUGCCUCUUCAGUGGACCCAGGCUUCUGGAAAAUCAUCCUACAAAAUUCUAGCGUUUGCAAUUCUGCCUUCUGGUUUGGAAGUAUGCAAAACCAGGAGCUGCAAAAGGUGGCUUUUUAAAAACAACAACAUUUGUGUUGCAUUUAAAACUGUCCAUAACUAGGGCACACAUGUUUUUGCACCAUCAUUAAUUCUGAGCAAAAGGGGCUUUACAGAUUUCUGAUUAACUCUCCAGCCCUGACAGGCUCAGCAUUUGCUGCCUCAUUUGUGGUGCUCCUCUAACUGAGGCAUUACUGGCAUUCAGUCCAUCCGCCUUUAGGCAACGCUGGAGCAGAGGAAGGAGGAGUCAGUCCCCUGGAAAUGAAACCCAGGACAGGGUGCAAGGGGCGUGGGCUGUUCCUUCAUUUUCUUGAAGGGCAGUGAAGCAAUGGUCUUCCUAAAUCAGGGCAGUCCUCUCCUGCUGCCUGCCUCCCAGUGCAUCUCCCAGUGGCAUUGGGACUGCAUUCUGCUAGGACACAUGAUUGCGGAGGAAUCUCAUGUGGUGUUCCAAAUGGACCACAUCCUUGUAGAGGAGCAGAACUUCAAAUGGAAUCCCACAUCUGUCAAGCAAGAGGUUAAACCAGGUGUUGUGGGGACCUACAGGGGACCUCCUCCUUCCUGAAUCAACAGUUCCAGUUCAUGGUAGUAAGGGAAGAGAAGUCAGACUGGUGAUCAGUGCUUAUUUGUGGGGUGUCUCUAAGCAUAAUUCUCCCCCUCCCCUUGUUCAACAUCUACAUGAAACUGCUGGGAGAGGUCAUCCAUCAAUUCUGCCAGACUCACAGCUAAAUGACAGGGGAGGCUGUCACCAGGAGGGCCUUUCUCCAGCUUUGGUUGGUGCACCAAAUGCAGCUCUGUUUGGAAUAGGAAACCCUAACAACAAUAACUCUGCUUCUCACCAGAAUUGGACUUCUGUACCGUGUUCUACAUAGGUCUGCCUUUAAAAAAUCCCCAGAAAGUGCAAAUUGGUGCAAAAUGUGGCAGCCCACUUUCUGGUGACUGAGAAUUGCCAUUGCCAUGUAAGCCAUAGCCAUUUGUGUGUGUGUGUGGGGGGGGGAGUUUACCAAUACGUUUCUGGAAGACCAAGUGCUGAUGUUAACCUAUAAACCUCUAAAUAGGUCCAUCUUCUCUACAUAGAAUCAACUUGCCUGGUGCAUGCUCCCCAACAAAAUCUGUUAAUGCCCCCCCCCAUUACCAAGAGGCUAGGGGAGCAAGGAUAAUGUUCUUCUGUUGCAACCCCUGUCUCCUGAGGUUCGAUAAUUUCCAACCCCCCUCUCCACCCCCCCCCCCCCCAGCUUUCCAGAAGCUUUGCUGAGAGCAUUGGGAAAUAAGCUCUUGUGUUACUUCAGUGUAUUAUUGUAUAGUUAUCAUUUUAAUAUCGUUUUAUUGCUGUACACUGCUGGGAGUUCAUGCAGAUUACGAUGGUAUAUAAAUGACAGGCAGAAAUAAAUGGUGGCUUUGGGUC